rnacentral:rRNA from 1 species
AGCAGUGAGGAAGGUGGGUAUGUUAAUAGCAUAUUCAUUUCGACGUUAGCUGCAGGAAGAAGCACCGGCUAAACUCCGUGCCAGCAGCCGCGGUAAUACGGAGGGUGCGAGCGUUAAUCGGAAUUACUGGGCGUAAAGCGCAUGCAGGUGGUUUGUUAAGUCAGAUGUGAAAAGCCCGGGGCUCAACCUCGGAAUUGCAUUUGAAACUGGCAAACUAGAGUACUGUAGAGGGGGUAGAAUUUCAGGUGUAGCGGUGAAAUGCGUAGAGAUCUGAAGGAAUACCGGGUGGCGAAGGCGGCCCCCCUGGACAGAUACUGACACUCAGAUCGCGAAAGCGUGGGGAGCAAACAGGAUUAGAUACCCUGGUAG